rnacentral:rRNA from 1 species
AACGAACGCUGGCGGCAUGCCUAACACAUGCAAGUCGAACGAGACCUUCGGGUCUAGUGGCGCACGGGUGCGUAACGCGUGGGAACCUGCCCUUAGGUUCGGAAUAACAGUUAGAAAUGACUGCUAAUACCGGAUAAUGUCUUCGGACCAAAGAUUUAUCGCCUUUGGAUGGGCCCGCGUAAGAUUAGGUAGUUGGUGGGGUAAUGGCCUACCAAGCCGACGAUCUUUAGCUGGUCUGAGAGGAUGAUCAGCCACACUGGGACUGAGACACGGCCCAGACUCCUACGGGAGGCAGCAGUGGGGAAUAUUGGACAAUGGGCGAAAGCCUGAUCCAGCAAUGCCGCGUGAGUGAAGAAGGCCUUAGGGUUGUAAAGCUCUUUUACCAGGGAUGAUAAUGACAGUACCUGGAGAAUAAGCUCCGGCUAACUCCGUGCCAGCCGCCGCGGUAA